GCUGACAUUAGCUAACAUUAGCUACUGGUCAUACCACACCAAGUAAGGCUGCAGCAAUCAAACCAAGUAGUG